CAGUCGCCGCGGGAAUACGUAGGGUGCAAGCGUUGCUCGGAAUUACUGGGCGUAAAGGGCGCGUAGGCGGAUAUUUAAGUUGGGGGUGAAAGCCCGGGGCUCAACCUCGGAAUUGCCUUCAAUACUGGAUAUCUUGAGUUCGGGAGAGGUGAGUGGAAUGCCGAGUGUAGAGGUGAAAUUCGUAGAUAUUCGGCGGAACACCAGUGGCGAAGGCGACUCACUGGCCCGAUACUGACGCUGAGGCGCGAAAGCGUGGGGAGCAAACAGGAUUAGAUACCCGCGUAGUCCCUGUCUCUUAUAC
rnacentral:rRNA from 1 species